CAGCCGCGAGAAGCCUCUUCAGUUCGAGCAACCAGAACUGAGGACUCAGCCGUCAGCCGCUCCAGAAUGUGAGUGUUAUAUAGAGUCUGCUCAAUUCCCGGUCCUUCCCCUCCGCCCUGCCCAGCUUGCAUUACCCGUGACGACUGCCCAACAUUUUCAGUUAUCAAUCAUGCACUCUCAAUUAGAAAGAGACAACUUGAAUUAUUUCGAACAUAUUCGUCCAAACACCCUAGUGGCCUAUUAGGAUCUGAACUUCGAUAUCAUGUUAGCGCUGCCAGCAAUUACGCUCUCAGUGGUAUAUGAUUGCGAACACGUCCAGUUUGAUAAUGAGAGGUUGAUCAUGCGCCAGCAAAUACGCUCUCGGUUUGUGUACGGUAUACGAUUGCGAAUAGGUCCGGUGCGCCAGGUUUAGAUUUGAAACUGCGCGGCCAGCAAAGUGAACUCUGACUAAAUGAUUCGAGGCAGUUUGGCGACGUAAUGGUCCUGUAUCGGUGCGACCAAUUUUUUUUCACUGGCGGUGUCAUGAGUCGAACUAAUUUGGGCAUGUUUCAGCGAGCGAUAUAGGCCGAUACACAAUGAAUGGCGCUUCUCCGUAGGGUGCGUAUGUUCAUGAUUAACACUAGGUAUUAUAGGUCAAUAGUUGCGCGUAACAUCCUAACAAGUAAGGGCAGCGAUGUAGUGUAAAUUUCACGGUUCGUUGCGUUGUGUUUUCCGUAUUAUAGGUCAAUAGUUGCGCGUAACAUCCUAGCGAGUAAGGGCAGCGAUGUAGUGGAAGGUUCAUGGCUCGUUGCGUCAUGUUUCCGUACUUAAGGUCAACUUGUCAGCUUAGUGGUCACACGAGAACCGACGCGGCAGAUUGGAGUGACAUGUACGUCUGUUGCUCAAUGACAACAGUACUCUGCAUUGUAUAUAGAUUCUUUGGCUCCUAGGUUAAGUAUACGAUGCGUCUCACCAAGCUUGUGGGUCGAUGUUCGUGAUUGUGGUGCUUUAGUUUGCGACUAACACUGAUAAUGCCAUGCGAGCUUGAUGUAGAAUACACAGCGAAAACUUA